rnacentral:misc_RNA from 1 species
GCGGGACUGCCCGGCACGAGCCGUUUGAAUAUCCCUGAGGCUAUAAGCAAUCCUAGGGAGCUGUCCCUGCCCCGGAGUACGGGUUCGUCCUGGGCUCCAGGGUAUACGGCGCCCACCUGACGUUUAGGCGUCAGAGGAUUUCUCGAGCAACGACCCAUGGUGGUUCCGCC